rnacentral:rRNA from 1 species
CUACGGGCGGCAGCAGUGGGGGAUAUUGCACAAUGGGGGAAACCCUGAUGCAGCAACGCCGCGUGGGGGAUGACGCAUUUCGGUGUGUAAACUCCUUUUAUAUAGGAAGAUAAUGACGGUACUAUAUGAAUAAGCACCGGCUAACUCCGUGCCAGCAGCCGCGGUAAUACGGAGGGUGCAAGCGUUACUCGGAAUCACUGGGCGUAAAGCGCGCGCAGGCGGCCCCUUAAGUUGGAUGUGAAAGCCUACGGCUUAACCGUAGAACUGCAUCCCAAACUGAGGGGCUAGAGUCUGGGAGGGGAAGAUGGAAUUAGUUGUGUAGGGGUAAAAUCCGUAGAGAUAACUAGGAAUACCAAAAGCGAAGGCGGUCUUCUGGAACAGUACUGACGCUGAGGCGCGAAAGCGUGGGGAGCAAACAGGAUUAGAUACCCCCGUAGUC